AGUGAACGCUGGCGGUAGGCCUAACACAUGCAAGUCGAACGGCAGCACAGUAAGAGCUUGCUCUUACGGGUGGCGAGUGGCGGACGGGUGAGGAAUACAUCGGAAUCUACUUUUUCGUGGGGGAUAACGUAGGGAAACUUACGCUAAUGCCGCAUACGACCUACGGGUGAAAGCAGGGGAUCUUCGGACCUUGCGCGAUUGAAUGAGCCGAUGUCGGAUUAGCUAGUUGGCGGGGUAAAGGCCCACCAAGGCGACGAUCCGUAGCUGGUCUGAGAGGAUGAUCAGCCCCACUGGAACUGGGACCCGGCCCAACCUCCUAGGGGAGGCAGCAGUGGGGAAUUUUGGAAAAGGGGCGCAAGCCUAAUCCAGCCAUCCCGGGGGGGUGAAGAAGGCCUUCGGGUUGUAAAGCCCUUUUGUUGGGAAAAAAAAGCAGCAGGUUAAUACCCCGCUGUUCUGACGGUACCAAAAAAAUAAGCACCGGCUAACUUCGU
rnacentral:rRNA from 1 species